AUGCAUCUUGGCAUGUUGAUGAUGGUACUAUCUUGCCAGUGACCUUUUAACCCUGUUAGGCCUGGAAUUGGUUAGAGGGCUUAGAUUUGUGGGACAAUUAUAGUUUUCUAAUAAAACACCUGGCUUCAAUACACAUGAGGCAGUUACCUAAUGUGUUGGAAAUUCUACUUGCUGUUCAGAAAGGUUGUAUUUCCACAACAUCCAUUUUCCCUAACAGCUUGGAAUUCUGUUCACCCUAACAUUAUGGGAUAUCUACCCACAUAAAGGAUAUAAAACAUACUACUUGUGCUUUCUGCACAGACUAUCUUCUGAAGUUACAAGCUAAUGAACUUCAUUCCUUUCUCCCUUCUUUCCCUCCUUUCCUUAAUACUAGUGAGCAAAGUAUUUAUGCUGGAGCUAGACAUUCGGAGACUAAGAAGACCCAGUGUGACAUUAGGUCCUGCAGUCUCCCAUGGACAAAAUCUGGGGAGGAAGCUGAAAAGAAGAGGCAUGAAUCAUGGGUCAGCCUUGGAUUCAACUGAGGAAUAAACGCACUGUUACAGAAUUACUACAAAAUUAUCAUUAAUAAAAGAAAACCCUGAUUUGGAAA